rnacentral:misc_RNA from 1 species
CUUCCUAGAUCCAGCUCGAGAAAAUGAUAAGCUCUGGAUGGUAAGUCUAGCUUUAUGACCCAUCCAUUCCAAUGGUCCGUCUCCUGGCCUAACAUCCUAGGCCCAAGUACAUAAUUUUGGGUAGAGAAACAUGAACGAUAUUUGAGUUACGCUGAGAAUGUAAUUUAAGCAUAAAAUCUUUCAAACAUAAGUUGUUAUCUCAAGCGAG